rnacentral:rRNA from 1 species
AGAGAAUAGAUACCCGGGUAGUCCACGCCGUAAACGAUGGAUACUUGGUGUUGGAGGUAUUGACCCCUUCAGUGCCGAAAGCUAAACGCGUUAAGUAUCCCGCCUGGGGAGUACGGUCGCAAGAUUAAAACUCAAAGAAAUUGACGGGGGCCCGCACAAGCGGUGGAGCAUGUGGUUUAAUUCGAUGCAACGCGAAAAACCUUAACCUGGGCUCGAAAUGUACAGGAAGACAGCAGAGAUGUUGUCGCCUUCGGGUCUGUAUAUAGGUGCUGCAUGGCUGUCGUCAGCCCGUGUCGUGAGAUGUUGGGUUAAGUCCCGCAACGAGCGCAACCCCUCGCCUUUAGUUUGCCAGCAUUUAGUUGGGUCGACUCUAGAGGGACGUGCCGACGUUAAGUCGGAGGAAGGUGGGGAGUGACGUCAAGUCCUCAUGGCCCUUACUGUCCAGGGCGUACACACGUGCUACAAUGGGCGGUACAGAGGGUUGGCUUAGCAGUAAUGUAAAGCUAAUCCCUUAAAGCCGUUCUAAGUUCGGAUUGAGGUCUGCAACUCGACCUC